rnacentral:rRNA from 1 species
UACGUAGGGGGCAAGCGUUGUCCGGAAUCAUUGGGCGUAAAGAGCGUGUAGGCGGCUCGGCAAGUCCGCUGUGAAAGUCCAGGGCUCAACCCUGGAAUGCCGGUGGAAACUGUCGAGCUAGAGUCCGGAAGAGGCGAGUGGAAUUCCUGGUGUAGCGGUGAAAUGCGCAGAUAUCAGGAGGAACACCAAUGGCGAAGGCAGCUCGCUGGGACGGUACUGACGCUGAGACGCGAAAGCGUGGGGAGCAAACAGG